UCAUACGGAGGAGGCAAGCGUUAUCCGGAAUUAUUGGGCGUAAAGAGAUGCGUAGGCGGCUCAUCAAGCGAAGUGUGAAAUCGUGUGGCUCAACCACACGGCUAUACUUUGAACUGAUGAACUAGAGCAUAGUAGAGGUAGCUGGAAUUCCUUGUGUAGGAGUGAAAUCCGUAGAUAUAAGGAGGAACACCAAUGGCGAAGGCAGGCUACUGGACUAUUGCUGACGCUAAGGCUCGAAAGCGUGGGGAGCGAACGGG
rnacentral:rRNA from 1 species